rnacentral:rRNA from 1 species
CCAAGGGAUCCUUAUACGGCGAGUGAGCGGCAAAAGCUCAAAUUUGAAAUCUGGUACCUUCGGUGCCCGAGUUGUAAUUUGUAGAAGGUAACUUUGGGGCUGGUCCUUGUCUAUGUUCCUUGGAACAGGACGUCAUAGAGGGUGAGAAUCCCGUGUGGCGAGGAUCCCAGUUCUUUGUAAAGUGCUUUCGAAGAGUCGAGUUGUUUGGGAAUGCAGCUCUAAGUGGGUGGUAAAUUCCAUCUAAAGCUAAAUAUUGGCGAGAGACCGAUAGCGAACAAGUACAGUGAUGGAAAGAUGAAAAGAACUUUGAAAAGAGAGUGAAAAAGUACGUGAAAUUGUUGAAAGGGAAGGGCAUUUGAUCAGACAUGGUGUUUUGCGCCCUCUGCUCCUUGUGGGUGGGGGAAUCUCGCAGCUCACUGGGCCAGCAUCAGUUUUGGCGGCAGGAUAAAUCUGCAGGAAUGUAGCUUGCCUCGGUAAGUGUUAUAUCCUGUAGAAAUACUGCCAGCUGGGACUGAGGACUGCGACUUUACGUCAAGGAUGCUGGCAUAAUGGUUAUAUGCCGCCCGUCUUGAACCACGGACCA